CCUACGGGAGGCAGCAGUCGAGAAUCAUUCACAAUGGGGGAAACCCUGAUGGUGCGACGCCGCGUGGGGGAAUGAAGGUCUUCGGAUUGUAAACCCCUGUCAUGUGGGAGCAAAUUAAAAAGAUAGUACCACAAGAGGAAGAGACGGCUAACUCUGUGCCAGCAGCCGCGGUAAUACAGAGGUCUCAAGCGUUGUUCGGAAUCACUGGGCGUAAAGCGUGUGUAGGCUGUUUCGUAAGUCGUGUGUGAAAGGCGCGGGCUCAACCCGCGGACGGCACAUGAUACUGCGAGACUAGAGUAAGGGAGGGGGAACCGGAAUUCUCGGUGUAGCAGUGAAAUGCGUAGAUAUCGAGAGGAACACUCGUGGCGAAGGCGGGUUCCUGGACAUUAACUGACGCUGAGGCACGAAGGCCAGGGGAGCGAAAGGGAUUAGAUACCCGUGUAGUC
rnacentral:rRNA from 1 species